rnacentral:rRNA from 1 species
UACGUAGGGCGCAAGCGUUGUCCGGAAUUAUUGGGCGUAAAGGGCGCGUAGGCGGUUCGAUAAGUCCCGUGUGAAAUCCCUCGGCUCAACUGAGGAACUGCACGGGAAACUGACGGGCUUGAGUUCGGGAGAGGGAAGCGGAAUUCCGGGUGUAGCGGUGAAAUGCGUAGAUAUCCGGAGGAACACCGGUGGCGAAGGCGGCUUCCUGGACCGACACUGACGCUGAGGCGCGAAAGCUAGGGGAGCAAACGGG